UUAUUAUCAUGUUUUUUCCAAUUAUUGCUGUUAAUGAAAUGUAUUUUUCAGCCUUCUAUUUGGGAACCUGUUCGUCUACUUCCAGUUCCAAGGACAGGAACACGUUUCUUAUCAUUCUAGGAUGUUAGUGUUUGGAGUCCUUUUUGGAAUUUGUUGCCUUGGUCUGAUUUUCAUCCUCAUUAUGAAAGGUGGUGGUAGACAAAGUGUGGAAUCACUAGAAGCAACAAGUUUUAACCUCAU